GGAGGGAAUGGCACUUGAAGCUGUGGUCUUUCCAGAUGACCCCUUUAAUUAUUAUAAUUGCAAAGAAGUCCAAAGCUUGUUGGGAGAGUGUUGGAGCUUUGACUUUGGUGAUCAAGAGCAGUGUGAGAACAGCCAUUUCCUUAGUACUCUGGAGAUCCAAACAGAAGACCACGAAUGUAGUGGGUGGAAUCAUCAGUCAAAUGUAUCAUCAAAGGCUUUGAUCGACCGGCCAAAGCGGUGUCGGUACAAGAGGAGGAAGAACAAAAAAGAGAUGGAGAGUCAGAGGAUGGCUCACAUUGCCACUGAGAGGAAUAGAAGAAAGCAGAUGAAUGAGCACCUCUCUGUUUUGCGUUCUCUCAUGCCUGACUCUCAUGUCCAAAAGGUAAACAAUCUCUCUCUCUCUCUCUCUCUCUCUCUUCCAUUUGCUUGCCUGCCAGCGCUUUUUAGGGAAACUUCAUGUGGCACAGUCAUCACUAACAUAAAGUUCACUCAUUUAAGUGAAGUCGAGGAAAUUGCACAUUGCUUUUGGACAAUUCACUGGCAGUGGCAGCAUAACUCUUUGAAUCCAGCAUCAUUCUACUCUUUUUCUCUAGAGAUACUAUUACCAUAUUUUGUAAAGUCAAACAAGCAUAUUUCUUAAAAGGAUGCUUAUUCAAAAUCAAAAUUCAAGUAGACCAUCACGUUGGUGAAAGCGACUUUCUUAUGCUUUUUUCACAUUCGAUCUCCUUUUACGUUAAUUCGACUCGAAGUAUUGGCACUGUAAAAUUGAUCAGGUUGAUCAAGCAUCAAUUAUAGGCGGUGCCAUCAAUUACGUUAAAGAGCUAGAGCAACAAUUGCAGCAGCUUGGUGCUCACAAAGAAAUGGAAGGACAGAGUUCAAAAUGUGAAGAUGACAUCUCCUCCCCUCCUUUCUCUGAAUUCUUCACCUGUCCACAGUACUCGGCAAGCCCGGGUCAAGGCAAUGACUCAGUGCCCAUGAACGAGUGGACGAGCCUCACUCAGUCUGCAAUCGCUGACAUUGAAGUGACCAUGGUGGAGACCCAUGCAAAUCUCAAGGUAAGGUCAAAGAGAAGACCCAAGCAGCUGUUGAGGUUGGUUUCUGGGUUGCAGAGUGUGGGACUCACUGUGCUACACCUCAAUGUCACCACAGCUGAACCCUUCGUUCUCUAUUGUCUCACUCUCAAGGUACGAUUUCAAUUAUUUUUUCUUCCUGUUUCUCUACCUUAAGAUGUUCUUUCAUGUGUCGCUUGAUGUGGUGCCAAGUCGGUGCCAUGCCAGUGGUAACUUGUCCAAAUUUUGUCACGGCGAUAAAACCAUAUGAGCAUUUUAGCGGUGUUAGUUACAACAGGCAAGGUGGCGCAAGGGCAAAAUUGUACAUACAUUGAGCAUUGGAGGACUCGAUGAGAAAGGAAGAUAAACAAAAGCAGUAAAUAGACGACAGAUCUGGAACAUGGUUCUUGAGAUUUUGGAAGAUUCAUGAUUUGGAAUCUGAGGGGUGUGAAUUUGAACCUUGAAUUUGCAGGUUGAAGAUGGUUGCCAGAUGACUUCAGGGGAUGAAAUUGCCGCAGCUGCGAAUCAGAUUCUAAGCAGCAUUCAAGAGUGAGGGUCUCUCUUUGAUCCUCAGAACCCUGAAG
rnacentral:lncRNA from 1 species